UUCCCUUUCUCAGGUAAACUUCCUCUGAGACAACAAACCCCAGACCACAGGAACUCUUGGUUUCUGUAUGACUGACCCAACCGCACACACAGAAACAACAAACACACAAAGCCCAAGGAUAAGUGUGUGUGUGUUUCCGGGUGGGUGGGUGAACGUAUCUGGAGCAAUUUCAGCAGAAAUGAGUGAGCAAAACUGGACUAACUAGUAUAACCUGAAUAACUAGUCUUGUAGCCAAACAGACAUGGACACAGACAGAGGCAGAGAGAUGGAGUGAAGGAAUUUCAGGAUCCAACUCCAAACCCUGGAGCAAGAGCAACAGCCUCUCCCCCUGCGCAUGCCUCCCCCCUACCACAUUACCCAGACAGAGAGACAGACAGAGAGGAGGGAUAGAGGUUCCUCUCCUAACUCCAGACUGAAACUCAACUCAACUCUGAGAUCUAAACUGUUUAAAAAGGCGGAGUUAGAGCUGAACAGUUCUAAGGAAAGAGGCAGGAUUAAGUUAGAUAACUAGCGAAUUAAGUGAAAUGAUUGAGAGAAAUUGUGUGUGAAUGUGUGUCUGUGUGAUCAUGUUGUUAAUGUGUGUUACACUCUAAAGUAGGACACUGCAGUUUCACCUGCUGUGCUUCUACUAGUAUUGUUUGCCGUACACAAGUACACAACACACACACACACACACACACACACACACACACACACACACACACAGGAUGUGUGUGUUGGGUUUUAACUUUAGCGUCAAUGUUUGACAGUCAGGUCAAUGUAUAAACCUCUGAACGCCACCUGUGGCUUUACCUUUACCCUGUGUGUGUGUGUGUGUGUGUGUGUGUGUGUGUGUGUGUGUGUGUGUGUACUGUAUGUGUGUGUCUGUGUGCGUGCGUGUGUGUGUGUGUGUGUACUGUAUGUGUGUGUCUGUGUGCGUGUUCUCAGGUCAGGCAGGAAUCCUUUAUUCUGACCUGCCACAACAAACUGGAGAUUAAAACUGGUACGAUAGUUACCCAGCUUGUAAGUUUCUUCACACACACACACACACACACACACACACACACACACACACACACACACACACACACACACACACACACACACACACACACACAGAGGGAGUCCCAUAGUGAGUUUCAGGGACUACACUAAACUGUAUUUAUAAUGCAGAGGUAAAUAUUAAAGAUUGAAGACUGUUUGUUUGGGUGAACGCCCGUCAGACUGAAUUACCAUCAUCUAAA